UUGCUUUCUUUGCUGGCGACCGGCGCACGGGUGAGUAACACGUAUCCAACCUGCCCUUUACUCGGGGAUAGCCUUUCGAAAGAAAGAUUAAUACCCGAUAGUAUAAUGAUUCCGCAUGGUUUCAUUAUUAAAGGAUUCCGGUAAAGGAUGGGGAUGCGUUCCAUUAGGUUGUUGGUGAGGUAACGGCUCACCAAGCCUUCGAUGGAUAGGGGUUCUGGGAGGAAGGUCCCCCACAUUGGAACUGAGACACGGUCCAA
rnacentral:rRNA from 1 species